GGGCAGCACCCCCUUUUUGCUGCCUUUCCAGGGAGAGCAGCAAGAGAAAGAAAGAGAGAGGCAAGCGAAAUUCCUGAAUGGAUAGACAGAUGCUACGUCAUCGGAGCUGCAUCCUCCACUCCACAAGAGGCUAGGAGCUGGGGGGAGAGAGGCAGUCCAGCCGCAGGGGCCACCCGAACAGUCUGUCCUCCUCACAGAAGCCUGGAGCUGGGCAUCCAGGAAGAAGCAGCCUCAUUUGUUUUCUGGUGUCAUCGUAGGUGGCCACCUAUGGCUUUUGGGCUUCUCACCUGGGGCGGGUGGGUGCUGCACUACCCUCUCACCCUCCUUCCUCCGUGUGGACGACAGAGCCACAUCCAGCACCACGGACAGCUCCCGGGCGACCAAAAAGAAGAAUGUACUUCAUCCGGUUGGGCUGGAUUCCCUCUGAUAAGCCUUCCCAGUUGACUGAAAGAUGAGGCUAGGCUCUAGCAAGUUAAAGUCGAACCAGCUCCUUCAAGAAGCUUUGAGCAGAAUGAAGUGGGGAGGACCCAGCUUCUGGCCCAGGAAGUCCACUGUACCUGGAGCCAUCUGGGAUAAGACUUUGACCCAUGACUCCCAUAUCCACAACCUGUCCAUCCUGGCCCAUCCCAGUUUAUCCUGUAUCAUUUGAGCUGGGGUUCCCACAUCCUCUGAGAUGGAAGUCCCAUCUCAAGUCUUCAAUAAAGACUCUUGAAUAUUGAAUCACA
rnacentral:sRNA from 1 species